CUGAAAAUAUUAGUCGCUACAUCAUCUUUACUCGCGGUAUAAAUUGUCGCCUGCUUAGACACCAAGCACGCAGUCAGUUUAAACUCGGUGAAGAAUUCGCAGCGACGAUAAAGAACCUCCGUAUAAAUCUCACUCUCUAUAUAACAUAAUUCGAUUAUCAUGAAUCGACAAAUUCUGCUGUUGAUUCUCCUCGUAUUCACCUUCGACGUCGUGUUUUGCCAGUUUGGAUUUGGAGGAUUUGGAGGACCUGGUCCUGGCUUCGGAGGUUUUGGCGGUCCUUUUGGCCCUCCACCUCCACCACCCCCGCCGCCACCCCCAAUUCCAUACUGUUCGCCAUUUUACCGGUCAUUUGGAUAUGUCUACAGAUAUUGUUGAA